rnacentral:lncRNA from 1 species
GACGAAAGUGGUGACGUCAAAAUCACCGCGACUUACUCGGGAGCGUCCCUAUUAAUUAUAUGGCAGUCGGGAAAGGUAGCAUGACGUCACGGAUGUCUU